CCAACCCAACCCAAACCAAUCCAAUCCAAUCCAAUCCAAUCCAAUCCAAUCCAAUCCAAUCCAAUCCAACCCAAUCCAAUCCAAUCCCAGCAGCAGCUGGAGCAUGGGCAAGCCAGGGAAGCUGAGUUCUGACCACCCUGCUCUGGGAGAGCUCUGGGAUGGAUGGAUGUUUUCCCUGGGGACAGGUGGAGGUGGAUGUUUUCCCUGGGACAGGUGGAGGUGGAUGUUUUCCCAGGGACAGGUGGAGGUGGAUGUUUUACCCAGGGCAGGUGGAGGUGGAUGUCUUCCCCAGGGCACGUGGAGGUUCCUCCCAGCUGCCCAAAGACACGAAAGGGACCCUCAGGGGCUCAGUGAGGACGCUCCACGGGGAGUGGGGAGCUAGGCAGGUUUGAGGAUGCUCCACGGAGAGCAGGGAGCUGGGCAGGUUUGAGGUCACUCCAUGGGGAGCUGGGCAGGUUUGAGGACGCUCCACGGGGAGCUGGGCAGGUUUGUGCCUGGCCUCAGCAGGGCUCUGUGUGUGUGUGUGUGGU